GAUGAAGAAACGUAGCGAAAUGCGAUAAGUAAUGUGAAUUGCAGAAUUCAGUGAAUCAUCGAGUUUUUGAACGCAUAUUGCGCCCUCUGGUAUUCCGGGGGGCAUGCCUGUUCGAGCGUCAUUAAAUAACCCUCAAGCAUAGCUUGGUGUUGGGCUUUUUUACGUCCUUGACUGGGAUGGGCCUAAAAAUUAGUGGCGAUGGCUUUUUUACUUUCAAGCGUAGUAAAUCUCGUCUUGCUAAAGAGGAAAAAGAUUUUUUUUCUGCCAAAAAUUUUAACAUUUAAAGUUGACCUCGGAUCAGGUAGGAUUACCCGCUGAACUUAAGCAUAUCAAUAAGCGGAGGA
rnacentral:misc_RNA from 1 species